rfam:Dipodomys ordii contig_34909, whole genome shotgun sequence.
GGGAAGGUGGCUCAGUGGUAGAGUGCUUGUCUUGCAUGCAUGAGGCCCUGGGUUCAAUUCCUCAUCAUCACA